GCUAGGUCUCCUGCCCUCGAACGAGAAACACUCGCACGCACGAAUCUCUGCCCUCGUUCUCCCUCCCCCGCCCUUCGUCCCUUUGCCGAACCCUAGAAGCGGAGGAGCAGUGGCGGUGGUGAACCCGAGAACCCUAGAAGCAGAGGGAUCGGGGGAGGAGAUGGGGGGCGGGUAGCGCCGGGAGCCGGGGAGGAGGUGGGGGGCUGAAGCUCCCACCAUUCACCCCCACCUCAGGAGUGCCUCGUUGGAUCUGGUAGCGGCCGACCGGCCAUACUCGUCGGAUGCCUCGGUAGGGGCGUCUCCGCUUCCUAGAUCUGGGUCGGAGACUUUGACGCAGAGGCCCGCAAGGGAGAAGCAGAGGGUGGAGGAGGAGCGGAGUCCAUGGAGGAAAGCAGGUGGCGGCUCCAGGUAGGUGCUCAGCUUGCCCUACUGUGUAGUUCAGCGCAUCACCGUAGGGAUAGGAGCGACACCACCGUCUCCAGGUACGUCCUCGACCAGGUCGUGCUCGGGCUGCCCUCGGUCAUGAUCUCGUGGUUGAAUGCCUUCCGAGGUCUCCCUGAGGUCUGAUCUGAUGCCCUUGUUGAACCCAUCCCUUACUCUCCGCCAGCUGGGUCUCAUGAUUCGGUGCUGAUGCUUGCUACCAUAGUGUGCUUCAGGAGAUCAACAGCAUGCUGGGAUGGAAGCAACUAAAAGCAUCAGUUUUGCCAUUACACGACCACAUGCAAAAGUAGCACAUCAUCAACACAUACGAAAUCCAUUAAUUUGCAAUUCUUCAGUUGACGCACUUGAACAAAAGCAUCAGUUUUCUACAUUGUGACGAUCACAAGCAUCUAAUUAUGCUUCUCAAAGUCUUUAAUCACGUGAUGCAUCCUUGAAAUCAGGUUGUUCUCCACCAUUGAGUAUCAUACUAAACUUAGUACAAUUUUAUACUAAACUUGGUACAAAGUUGAGACAUUUAUUUUGAGACGGAGGGAGUACAUGAUACAUCAAUGUGUUAGGUAUAAAUUGCCUGCACUAAAACAUGUACGACAACCAAACUGCCACAUUCAUUCAGUACAACUCAUCCUGCUUCAGCAUCGAAGUCUUGAGGGGCUAUGAGAGCAGAGGUAGCAAAGUCGUCGUGACAUUAAGGCAGAGUGAGGACAUAAUUAGCUCAUUAGCGUUUAAGUGUUGGUUUGAUAUACAACCUUUGAUCUGUGUGGUUUGUUAUAGAUCUAAUGACCCAUGAAGAAAGUUUUCACUUGAUACUUUCUCUAUGCAAGUUUUUAUCUAAUUGUUGCAUUUCUCAUAGUGUUAUAGGGGUAUUUUGUAACCUGGAGCAAUCAGACACACUUUCUAUCCGAAAAUGAAAUCUGAACAUGUAUUGUAGUGAAGUUAAACAAUGCAUGUAGCUUAGUUUUAAUAUGUUAACUAAUGUACCUACUUACAGUGAUCUUUUAACUCAAUAAGAAUUACAAAAAUUUGCUUGGCGAACGCCUCGUGUCACUUGGCAUCAAAGAGCCAAAGCUGCUUGAAAAGCAACUUGAUUCAUCCUCAAGGUACAUAAGAUCCACAAGACUAAUUGAUUUCUUUCCGUACAAUCAUGAUUUAGAAGAAGGAGCACUAGCUCUUUUAUUAUCUAUAGAAAACGGUACAAAUUGUUACUUUGUCCUGCCUAUUUCUACUUUGUUAAUCAUAGGCAAUAUUAUGCUGUUAGAUGCAGGGUUUCAUGAUCACUUUUGACCAGUGUUGUAGGUAGAUUACACCUAUUUUUGUCUUGGCUCGUUUUUAAGUAAAAUUGAGCAAGGUGUGUGCCCUAUUCAAACAAUAAACAAAACAGAGUCUCCUCAUGCUGCAAAUAUAGCUUAGUUUUUUUUCAAUGAAAACACAUCUCAGGUAAGUGAGCUGCUUUGUACACUACAUCUCUAUUGAAUUAUAUGUAGUUUUUAGCUUCAUGUCUUUGAUUUAACGUCAUUAUUCUAGGACUGGAAAAUUUUGCAUUAGACGUAUUGAUUCCGUAAUGCAAUUAAUGCAUCGUAAAAGCUAGGGAUAAUUUGGUUGUGUCGUCCUCGAUAUGUUACGACACAAAAUGUUGAUCAUUUUCAUGAUUGCAGACACAACAGAUGCUUCUUCAUCUCACUGGUCUCUAGAGGACGGAAGAGAUCUUGUCUGAAGCAAAUGAGUGCCUUAGAAGAAAAGAAAAUGAGGAGUUCAAUUGUUUCCCCAAAUUUCCUUCCACGAUUUUGUAACCCUUUGCAGAAUCGGAUGGGGAGGUUCGCAACAUUGUCUACUCAGGAAAUCAAUAUAUAUUGUCUAUCAUGUGACUAUGGAACUGAUGCAGAGUACCCUUCUUUGCAUGGGAGUUAUAUGUGGUUCAGUUUGCACAAUCUUGUUUGGUUUUACAUUGAUCUUAUUGCAUGCUCAGUUUUUGGGCGUAUAACCAGUUUAUAGGUCCUACUAUUUGAUCUGUGGACGUGACCAAUGAGGGCAUGGAGAUUAUGGCGAGGCAUGGUGAUGCGGUGGCAGUGGUGAAGGUAACCACAUCGAAGGCAGCGACAAUGGGUGGUUGUUGAUGAAAGCAGCAUGGGGAUGGGGGAGGUGGAGAGGCGAGGGAUGGAGGCGGAGGACGGCAGCCAGGGAGAUGGAGUGGCAUUGAGAUUGGACGAGCUCGCCUGUGGAGUGUGUGUGCAGGAUUUCCUUUCCGGGUUGGACGGGGGCUUCUUUGUUUGUGUGUGUGUGCAUGUGUGAGUUCACACCGAUACUCGACCAAAUACUGUGCAUGGUUAUCUAAAAUUCUAGAAAAUAGUUCACAUCCCAGUGGCAGAAGUUGAUGCUCCAUCUUGUUAUUCAUUUCCUGGGAUCAUUUCUCGAGGAAUGUACGGAUUUCUCAAAGUGACGCAAUGCUAUGAUCUUCAACCAUGAAAACGAAACUGUCAGCGCUGAUGGCCUGCUCCUGUGAUCUCAUAGCAUUGUGUCAAGGAGCAGGUGGAGAGGGAGAAAGAGAAAGGGAGAAUGGAAGCCAAGUGAUAGACAAAGAGAGUGAAAGGUAUUUGGUUCAAAAUAUAUUUUUCUACUGUUAACCGAUAGCAUGGAUAUCACUAUUUAUCAUCAUGAUGUCCAUAAGAAAUCAUCAUGACAUGUCGAAUCCUCAACCACUCAGUUAGAUGUUGAUGGAUCUGCAUCACAGCUUCUGUUGAAUUCUCAUGGUUGGAGAUACUGCAAGAAUUCUGAUUCGGCACGGCCCUCAUGGAGACAAUGGAGAUGGUGUUCAACGGUGCGCUCAGCCAGAGUUCGCUUCUCCUGCAAUACGUCCGACAUUUGCUGAUUCGGUAGGGCCCUCAUGGAAACAAAUCCAUGAAAGACGCAUUGGAGCACCAGGUCAAGAGCAAGGCCUUUUUCAAGAUACUAACCUAAAUGCUGAAAUACUUCGUUGUUGCCACUUUUAGUGUAGCUGUACUGAUGCAGAUAAGCUAAAAAUCUCUCUUGCCUUCUCUUUGAUGCCCUGAUGACUUGUGUGCUUAAUUAUUAAGUAAAUUACAUUAUGGCGCAUGUUAUUUCCCAUGUCUCCAUAGGGCAGUAUUCUUUUGGCACAUGCAUAGGGGUGCUUUGUAUCGGUACGUAACUUCAUGCUGAAAACAAGUGCAACAUGUUUUCUUUGUAGCUCAGAAGUAUUAACAAGAUAUGAAGAAUUAACAUGUUACUUUCUUUGCAAAGGAAUUGGCCAGAUAGUAUUUUACUAAAUAACUAUGGACUAGCUACUAUUUUUACAGUGGGUUGCUUAUUGGACUAGGGACGUGUGAUAUCUUUCUCCCAUUGCAAAGCUAAACCACGUCGUGUCAUCUUUGUAGUUUACAUAUUUUUUAGAUGUGUUGGCACACAUUUUGAGGCAUCAUUUUCUUUGAAGUCGUUCAUCAUCAUUGGUCCCAUUCUGCACAAGACUAUCGAUGAUACCACUCUGCAUUGGACCUACACAAUCAUCAAUUUUACCAAUGUCACAAAUGGUCUGUCUUGUAAUGUGACAUUAUGGCUAACUGUUUGGUUUAAAUUAUGGCUGGUAGCUGUCCUUCGAUGCUGUAAAUUUUGUUAACCUAACUCCCUGCUAUAUGCACAGUUCAGGGCGCAGAGAAACUAAUGGAGCAACCAGGAGUCCAAUCAGUUCAGGGCACAGAACAUUGAACAUAUCAGUGAUCGGACACUCGAGACAAAUCUUAAUGAGUUCUAGCAACCGAAGACAGAAUAUUUGCGUAGGAUGCAACAAAGUUGCAUGUCAUGAGAUUAUUGAAUGCGUUGAGUAAUUUGGAAUGGAAACAUUUUUGGUUAAAUAGGAUGCUCUUGAGAUUAUUUCUCAUGCCAACAUGGCAUGCCCGAGCGAAAAAUGUGCCACCCUUUGACAGGACCAUGCCUUGUUAGAGGAGGUUUCUGGUUGGAUAAAUGAGAAGGCCAUGAUGCCUAUUUGGGCUAAGAUGACUCCUAACAUUGUAGGUAUUACAGAUGGAUCUUAAGCUUCCAUAAUGCA